GACUCAGGAGGGGGCUCUGAGGAGGGGCUCUGAGGGGCGGGGCUCUGAGGGACCGGGAUGUGAGGCGGGGUCUGUGAGGGACGGGGCUGUGAGGGGCGGGGCUCUGAGUUACCGGACUGUGAGGGGCGGGGCUCUGAGUUACCGGGCUCUGAGGGGCGGGGCUCUGAGUUACCGGGCUCCGAGGGGCGGGGCUGUGAGGGGCGUGGUCUCAGGGGCGGGGCUCUGAGGUGGCGCAGCGUGGCCCUGGAGGUCCUGCCGGCCACCGCGGCUCCACCUGGGGGCACGAUGGAGGGAGGUGGGGAAGUAGAGCCCGCGGUGCUGCUCCGGCCCCUGCUGCCCCCGGAGCCGCAGGAGCCCGGGGAGCCGCUCCCGCGUCCCUCUGGGCCCGUGCGGUCAGGAGGGCGGGCGCCUGCUCCCGCACCACUCGGCCGAGUCCCUCCCUGUCAGCUUCCUCCCUGCCAAGCAGCGCCGCAGUGGUGACCCGCCCUGCUCUGUCCCGCUCCGUGCCCAAGGGCAGCGCCUCUGGGAUCACCAGUCCUCCCUUCGGUCCUGCCUCUUUCUGGUCAGCUCAGCAGAACCUGCUCCGGCUGACCGCGGGAUGGACACCUUGACCUGCGCUGCGACCUUGUGCUGUGACGUCACAACAGCCCACGUGGCCGUCUGAGAACUCGACGGACACACAGAUGCGGCCCCCACAACCACGUGCCUUCGCAAGAGAGGAGAGCCCGCGGACAUCACGGCAGCGGGACAGCCGGGCGCCACAGCUCAGCGUCGCCGCCGUCCCACCCCCGCUCCGGCCGGGGCAGGUCCCGCCGGGGCCCCGGGCUGCCCGAGGGGCGAGGAACGGACACGGCGGGAGCAGCCCGCGGCCCAGAAGCCGCCCUGGCGCUGGUGGCCGGAGCGCGCGACAGCCGCGCGCGGUCAGCCGGGGCGUGCACCAGCGAGGGGCGCUCAGCCGCUUCCGGCUGCUGGAGAACGACUUCCGGUCGGCAAGUUUGUGAAAGGGAGCGGCUGCGACGCCGGGGGACGCGGCCGGUUGGCUGCUCCAGCACCUCCGUUUCCCUAGGCAGGACAGCCACCUGUCCUCUGGAUAUAUCCCAGGAGCCAGUGACCUUCGAGGACGUGGCGUCCGCUUCUCCAGGGCAGAGUGGGAGUGUCCGGAUCCUGGCCAGAGGGCUCUCCGCCGGGACGUGAUGCUAGAUCCCUUCAGGCUCGGCUGUGCCAGGUAAAGGCUGCACGCCAGCCUCUGGAGCCCUCUGAGCCCAGCGGAGGGGCUCGGGAGCUGGGAGUCCGGCCCGGGGGCAGCUCCAUCUUCCCUCCCAGACCCUGCCAGGCCCUCGGUGGACAUGGCACCGGCAGGUGGACAGCAUCCAGACCCCUCGUUGGCCUCUCUGUGGCAGCUUCUUCAGGGAUACCCUGAGGGCUGGCCUGGCCACUGGUCUACUUUAUGCUGACCCCAAGCUGCUGGUCUGAGCUCCGACCUUCGCUUUGGCUCUAUGCAAACACAAUGCUUUUUCUUUCUUUGAGAAGGGUUUUGUGGCUGCAAACCAGCCCUCCUCUCUUCCCUGGAACAGUGGAAUGAGCCAUGGGUUUCCCUCCUCCCCCGCAGAGGGAGAGUGGACAGCAAAUGGCCCAUGAAUUAGAGAGAGACACACGGCUGGCAGCCCCGCUCCGAGGCCUGCCGCGGGGUGACGCGGGAAGCUGUGCUCUGUGGCCGGGCACUGUCCUGUCGAGCUCCUUGUGGGCGGGUGCCUGCCCCUGCCCCUGCUAGCCACCUUGGGGCCCCAGGUGAGGUUGCAGGUGUGAGGCUUCCUCCAGGUGAGGACAGGCCUCUCCCCGGUGCGCGCUGGCUGCUCUCUGCGAAGGUUCCACUUCUGCUCGAAGGCCUUCCCACAGUCACUGCAGGCGUAGGGCCUGUGCUCCAUGUGCACCUUGCCGUGCUGGGCCAGGCGGUCCUUGAGGCCGAAGGCCUGGCCACACAGCUCACAGCUGAAGGGCCUCUCGUGGGUGUGACCCCUCUGGUGGCGCAGCAGGUUUGACGCCCACCUGAAGGCCUGGCCGAACUCGAGGCACUCCAAGGACCUGGCGCCCAUGGGCGGCAAGCUGGCGGUGGCCGCGCAUGCGCCCUGGCACCGCAGGGUUCCCGCCAGCCCCUGUCCCGGGCGGCGUGGGCCCGCUGGUGUGUUCUGCGGCAGCUCCGGGGAGCCGCGCGCUACCCUGGCUCAGGACAAAGCUCUCCCUGAAGCCACCUCCUUCCCCGGCGCUUCCUUGCACGUGGACUUUCUCGCGGGCCCACGGGGGCUGAUCACUGGCUCUCCUGUGGUCAAGGGAUGUCCUCGUCCCUGCAGAGGAAAACCGACAGCUCCCGGAGGCUGGGGCCUGUCCGUGGGAGGCGGCAGGGCAGGAAGGGAAGCUGCCGGAGCCACAGCCAGGGAGAGGAGGGAGCAUGCUGGCCUUCAGAAAGAGCGGGGAAGCCGAG